rnacentral:rRNA from 1 species
AGAGUUUGAUCCUGGCUCAGAACGAACGCUGGCGGCAUGCCUAACACAUGCAAGUCGAACGAGAUCUUCGGGUCUAGUGGCGCACGGGUCCGUAACGCGUGGGAAUCUGCCCUUUGGUUCGGAAUAACAGUUGGAAACGACUGCUAAUACCGGAUGAUGACGAAAGUCCAAAGAUUUAUCGCCAGAGGAUGAGCCCGCGUAGGAUUAGCUAGUUGGUGUGGUAAAGGCGCACCAAGGCGACGAUCCUUAGCUGGUCUGUGAGGAUGAUCAGCCACACUGGGACUGAGACACGGCCCAGACUCCUACGGGAGGCAGCAGUGGGGAAUAUUGGACAAUGGGCGAAAGCCUGAUCCAGCAAUGCCGCGUGAGUGAUGAAGGCCUUAGGGUUGUAAAGCUCUUUUACCCGGGAUGAUAAUGACAGUACCGGGAGAAUAAGCUCCGGCUAACUCCGUGCCAGCAGCCGCGGUAAUACGGAGGGAGCUAGCGUUGUUCGGAAUUACUGGGCGUAAAGCGCACGUAGGCGGCUUUGUAAGUUAGAGGUGAAAGCCUGGAGCUCAACUCCAGAACUGCCUUUAAAA